AAACGGCGGCACCGGAGUCUCCUGCAGACACUGAAGCAGCUGCGGCACUCCCACAUAAUCGCUACUCCCACCACUGAAAGGUUCAAUCUUGCUCUCCUCACCAUACUCUCAGUCACUCCAAUUAUAUGUAGAGUUUGGCAGAGAGUGAACACUGCAAACUCUUGAAAGGUCACCCAUUUCAGUUUCAGGUUGAACUCGCCUAGCACAUUUAUAAUGGAUUUGGAAGUUUUGGGGCAUGAGUUGCAGUUCAUUCAGGAUCCUAAUUCAAAGCAUCUAGGAACUACGGUUUGGGAUGCAUCACUGGUAUUCGCCAAGUUUCUGGCAAUGACUGUAACCCUCUAGAG